GAUGAACGCUGGCGGCGUGCCUAAUACAUGCAAGUCGAGCGAACGGACGAGAAGCUUGCUUCUCUGAUGUUAGCGGCGGACGGGUGAGUAACACGUGGAUAACCUACCUAUAAGACUGGGAUAACUUCGGGAAACCGUAGCUAAUACCGGAUAAUAUUUUGAACCGCAUGGUUCAAAAGUGAAAGACGGUCUUGCUGUCACUUAUAGAUGGAUCCGCGCUGCAUUAGCUAGUUGGUAAGGUAACGGCUUACCGAGGCAACGAUGCAUAUCCGACCUGAGAGGGUGAUCGGCCACACUGGAACUGAGACACGGUCCAGACUCCUACGGGAGGCAGCAGUAGGGAAUCUUCCGCAAUGGGCGAAAGCCUGACGGAGCAACGCCGCGUGAGUGAUGAAGGUCUUCGGAUCGUAAAACUCUGUUAUUAGGGAAGAACAUAUGUGUAAGUAACUGUGCACAUCUUGACGGUACCUAAUCAGAAAGCCACGGCUAACUACGUG
rnacentral:rRNA from 1 species